rnacentral:rRNA from 1 species
UACGGGGGGGGCAAGCGUUGUUCGGAAUUACUGGGCGUAAAGGGCGCGUAGGCGGGUGGACAAGUCUCUCGUGAAAGCCCACGGCUCAACCGUGGAAUUGCGGGAGAUACUGUCUGUCUUGAGUCCGGGAGAGGAGGGUGGAAUUCGCAGUGGAGCGGUGAAAUGCGUAGAUAUUGGGAGGAACACCGGUGGCGAAGGCGGCUCUCUGGACCGGUACUGAAGCUGAGGCGCGAAAGCUAGGGGAGCAAACGGG